rnacentral:rRNA from 1 species
CCUACGGGUGGCAGCAGUGAGGAAUAUUGGUCAAUGGUCGGGAGACUGAACCAGCCAAGCCGCGUGAGGGAUGAAGGUACAGAGUAUCGUAAACCUCUUUUGUCAGGGAACAAAGGCGGGGACGUGUCCCCGGAUGAGUGUACCUGAAGAAAAAGCAUCGGCUAACUCCGUGCCAGCAGCCGCGGUAAUACGGAGGAUGCGAGCGUUAUCCGGAUUUAUUGGGUUUAAAGGGUGCGCAGGCGGUCUGUUAAGUCAGCGGUCAAAGCCCGGGGGCCAACCCCGGCACGGCCGUUAAACUUGGCAGGCUCGAGUUGGAGAGAGGGAGGCGGAAUGCGCGGUGUAGCGGUGAAAUGCGUAGAGAUCGCGAAGAACUCCGGUUGCGAAGGCAGCAUGCCGGCUCCACACUGACGCUGAGGCACGAAAGCGUGGGUAUCGAACAGGAUUAGAUACCCGGGUAGUC